UGCCAUGGCCAUAUCACCCUGCAGCCCAAGACUGGUUGCCCACUGAAGCUAAGCAGGGUUGAGCCUGGUCAGUACCUGGAUGGGAGACCUCCUGGGAAAACUAGGUUGCUGUAGGAA
rnacentral:rRNA from 1 species